GAAGGGAGAGAGCUCUGCUGUCCCUUUUAUAGGGAGCAGGAGGGAGAGAAAGGGUCGGCCAAGCUCUUCAAUGGGGCGCAGUCGGACUUCAUGACCACCAAUGGCGCCGACGGUUACAGGGAGUGAUGGAGGAGAGGAAACGGAAGAAAUGAAGCUCAUUAAUGGCGAAGAAGAACGGUCGUCGGGGUCAGUUGGUGCGGGGCGCGUCGGUCACGGCCGGGCUCGGUGUCUCGCGUCGGGCUCCUCAGUCGCGGGGGUGGGUUAGCCUCAGUUGGCGCGCUUGGCGUCGCAGCCGGUCGGUGUAGGGCGCGAUGGUGCAGGGCUUCGGCGGUUUCAGGCGCGAGCGUGAGAGAGAGAAGAAGGGAGGAGAGAGAAUAGGGGAGAGGAAGGAGUUAGCAGGGGGCGGCGGCGGCUUGGGAGAAGCCAGCCAGGGGGAGGGCGCGGCGUGAGUAAAAUGGACCCCUAGUUGGGCCUUAGGGUUAGGUUAGUUUUAUCUUUUUUUUCAAAUUGCGAAAUGAAUUGUUAAGGAGCUCGAAAAUUCAUAAAAAAUUC
rnacentral:lncRNA from 7 species